CACGUAGGAGGCAAACGUUAUCCGGAUUUACUGGGCGUAAAGCGCGUGUAGGUGGUUCUGUAAGUAGGGCGUGAAAGCUCCCGGCUCAACUGGGAGAGGCCGUUCUAAACUGCAGAGCUAGAGGAUGGUAGAGGGAGGUGGAAUUCCAGGUGUAGCGGUGGAAUGCGCAGAUAUCUGGAGGAACACCAGUGGCGAAGGCGGCCUCCUGGACCAUUCCUGACACUCAGACGCGAAAGCUAGGGUAGCAAACGGGAUUAGAUACCCGGGUGUCCCU
rnacentral:rRNA from 1 species